ensembl:lncRNA
GUGGGAGGGCAGGGGCUUGAAGCAGGCUGCUUAUACUGAAUCCCCAGCCAAGAAGCAGAGAAUGUCAGGACGCAUGCUAGUGCCCAGUUCCCUGUCUCUAUUUGAUACAGCCCAGGCUCCCCAGCCUGAGCAACGGUCCAGCUCACAACUCAUUGGUCUUUCCCACACAGUAAUGCAACAGCCCAGAGGCCCAUCUCCCAGCUGGGUCAGUCAAGCUGUCAAGUAACAUUAGCCAUCACACAUGGCGAAGGUCAAUGGUGACUUGAAUACGUCUCUGUCUAUUCAGGGAUGCAGGCUAGUGGCCACUGGGGUUUAUUGCCAUCAAGGUCACGUCAUGGGUGGCAAUUUGGCAGCAUGGUUCCGGUGACAUGCCAGGUGGUAUGUAAGGAACUUGGCGUGUAUCAAACACCUCAUUUAUUUCUCCUUCACUUUUAGGAGACAAGCAUUAUUACACCUAUUUUGCCUGAGGUAUAAAGGUUAAAUCACCUUGCUAAGGCAUCAGGUGAGUAGGGAAUAGAGUUUAGACAUUGUGACACCAACUCCAUCACAAACAAUGGCAGCAGAGGCGGGGCUAUGCAGAGGACUGUGUCAGGACACCAGUGCAGUGCCCAGGAAAAGGAACACUUAAUUAAUUCUCACAGGGAAGUCAGGAGCCUGGCCUAGAUAAGACUAAAGUUGGUCUGGUCCUUAAACCUUAGCAUCCCUGGAAUCCCAGCACUUGGAAGGCCGAGGGAGGAGGAUCGCAAACUGAAGUUCAUCCAGGGUUACACAGCAAGACCGUGUUCCCCAAAGCUACAACAGACAAAGAAAUAAACAUGACACUGGCAGGGGCCUCAGAGGCCAGUUAAGAGGAUUCAAGGCUUCAGAGGGUAAGGCAGGGCCAGGGGGAGCCCACAUGAGUGGUGGGAGGAGCUACUUGUGUUUUUCUGUACUUACUUUUCAGGGGACCACGAAUUUGUCCCAGAGAAAUAGUGCUCAGGCUUAGGGACUGAGUGGUGGUCAAUGGCACGGCUCCUUGAACUCCUUGCAAUCUAAUAGCUCUUCCAGACCAGAUUACGUGGCCUGCCAUAGUUAUCUAGAUACUCGAUGCCACCCCUUUUAUGCUUUUGUGUCCAGAGAGAGUCAUACUCCACAGUGACCCUUGAGCCCUAGGCCAGAAAAAUCUCAAGCUGGCCACUCUUGUUCUCUCAUCCCCCAGAGAACAUACAUCUAAAAGUCUGCAGGUGUUUGGGGCUGUCACCCCUUAGUCAUGUGAAUCUAGUGGACAGUUGCCAGGGAUGGGGACAAAUUCCUACAGGGCACAGAACAGGAUGACUCAGCCCCAAGUGGGGAGAAGCCUUGCUCUACAUUAGUAUUCCUGGGGCUCAGGGCUAGCCUGGGGGAGCUGUUGCACAGGCAGCCAAGCUAUGACUUUGCAGAGGGCUUUCUUACAGUUGAGACACCAGGGCUCAAUGUCUCUCCUUUCAGUGACAGUCAGUAUGAGUGCUCUCCCUUCCAUCUGUCACUGCUGUUUGCCUUUCAGGCUGUGAUCAGGCUUUUUGACUGAUGUCCAGGUGGCUUUAAUAGGUAGCUAUGACCUACAGAGGAAGCAGGGAGACACAAGGUCUUCCUCGUGUUAUUUCCACAUCCCAUAUUCACGGACUUCAGCCUUACCUGAAAGUCAACACAGACUGUGACAUCAGCCACUCUGGAUAGUGGCUGUGUCACCUCAGGAAGAGAGUUCACCUCUCUGUUCUCAGUUUCCUUGCUUGCAGAAGGCAUGAAACCAGGCUUGCUACCCAUGCUAAGAUGAGCAGUGCAGGCAUGUGGUACACAAGUGCUGAUGUAAGCACCCAAAGCUUCCAGUGAAUGCCUGGUUCCCUUACCUCAAAUGGGUUGAGCAGGAAGAGUGAGCAAGUCCUCGUGCAAUGUCUAGGAGCUGAACAAAUGGAACGUGGCAAUCUUGGCAGAGGGUGAUUCAGGAUGCCAAGGCAAAUAGCUAGCCGAAGCUUGGCUGGCUGCAGAAUACCACAAAUGCAGUUCUAAGGAAUACUCAGGACCAGAUGUGGAAAACAGAGAACCAAGAAGCCCCUGGUACCCAGUCUCCUGGGUCCAUUCAGCCUUUUCAAAUGAUUAAUUAAUCACAAAUUGGAAACAAGCAAAAAAACCAAUACAGAAGCCAAGCUGUGUCUUCUAGUGCUUCUAGUCAUGUUAAAUAGCAAGUCAUACAAAAUAGAACUACAUACCUACUGCAUGCCAAGCAUUUAAUGGGGUAUAGCAGGAGCGCCUUGGGGGACUUCAUGUCUGUUGAGGAGACAAGUGACAUCUCAAGAAAGUCACCAGAACAUCCACCAAUGACUGCAGUGUAAUGUGAUUGGGCAUCCAGCCAAGUGUCAGCAGGCUGCUAGACUGGGAAGUCAGCUACUUGGGAAUCUCUUCCUCCUUUUUCCUUAAGAGAAGUCCUGGCUGGGCAGACAACAUCUCCAGAUACACAGAAGGAGAUUUUAAAGAAGUCAGGACAUGCAAAUGGAAGGAGAGGACAUUCUUUCUGUCCUAAAUAUCGGAACAUGGGAACUUGCUGUUGUCACAGGGAAGGGCCACGAUCCUUUUGUCCCAAGAACUUCUAAUGUGUGACAUUAAGUAGACACUUGGAGCUGGGUAUGCUCACCCCCAACUUACAUGUGCAUCUGGCAGAAACUGGGUCACUGACAACCCCUGCUUCCCUUGGGACCAUUCUUAGGCCAAGUCUCCAGGCCAAUGACCUUUCUGGUAUGUCCCUCCUUAACAACCUUGGCAUGGUCUCCGUUGUCCUCCUCAGCAUCCUCUCCUGAGAUAAACCACUUAUUUCUAAAGCAAGUGUUUCCCUCUGUAGCCCAGGCUACCUCUGAACCUGCCAACUUCCAUGUACUAGGAUUACAAGAGUGUUCACCUUUAGCACCUGAACUUAAGAGCAUGCGCCAACGUUGUCAUGUAGCUAACCUUUCCUUUACCUUCUCUUCCUUCAAUACCCUUCUUGAGAGCAAGUCUCUCCUUCCUUGUCUCUUUGGGGGCCUGAAACACUGUUGUUACAAGGAAGCUUGUAACAGUUCCAGCUUUGGGCAUAAACAAUCAUCCAUUUAAGGUAGGGCUUGACAGUAUACCUGGUACUUGUGUUACUUUGGGCGGAUGAUUUGACAUCUCUGAACUUGACUCUUCUGCAUAGUCAGACUUCUGUUGCUAUUAAUGGGAGGCAUGGCCAGUGCAUCUCACGGUGACUGGUACAUAGCCGGUGGCCAGAACUCUAAUGUGUCAUCUUUAUUUCUCUGCACACACACACAGCUUGUACUAAUAUAAAGUUAAUAGCACUCUCGAUCUGCCAGUCUACACCUGGCUAGCCACUUUCAGUAAGUCCUGUGUCACUGAAUAGGCUCCCAACUGUGUUUCUGAUUACUAGAUGGGCAGCUGAGGCAGAGAUUAGGAAAGUGAAGCAGGAUUCCUCGAGGAUGCCCUCUGGCAACUUUGCUGACACCUCUGCCAUUGAUCUCUGAUCAUUUGCUUGUCUCAUGACCUGGUCCAUCACAAGGUUGUCCUUGGCAAUAGCAGGGUGUGUCUGUGUUGGGAAAAGAGGCCUGUGAACUUGUUAUCUAGGAUGCUGUCCACUGGUGGAAGGCAGGAAGAGAGAGGGUAUGGAUAACUGGGCAUGCUUGCUUGGACUAUACUCUGUUUCUGUGGAACUUCUUGCCCUCAGUCCAGGGUGGGGAAGGGCCUGCAGGGCAGGUAGUGAGUUGAGGAAGAGUGGCUGAUGCUGAGGCUCUUCCAGAAGGUGUCUUUCCAUGGCAAAUCCACAUGCUAAGAAGUUACCUUUCUCUAGAUUCAAGAAUAUGACUAAGAUACAGCAAAGGCAGAGCAAUAGCUAAUGGUACAUUCCUGGUCCUCAAGGUCUCCAAAGUCAGCAAGAUCAUGGCCCUACUACAGGGAACCAUCUGGAAGUUCCUGGAUGCUGACUGACAAGGGCAGAACAUUGCUAGAGAUGGGGCCUUGAAAGUCAGGCUCAGGAUCUUCCAAAAGUGCUGUGCAGUGCCUUAGAUGACAUAGUCACCAGACCUGGAGGGAAGAGAGGGGAGGAUGAGGACCUGGAAUGGGGAGGCACCAUACUGAAAACCAAAAGAGCUUUAAUAAUUCUGGCCAUAUCUAUAGAAACUAGAGGGAAAGUGGGGAUGGCAUGGGUGAGAAAAUCACACCUUAACUACCGUGGCCAGACAGACCCUGGCUAGCAUGGAAGCAAUCUAAAAGGUGUUGGUGGUAUCUUGGAGAAAUGAAAACAAACUGAAUUAGGGGCUACAGGCCUGGGUUCCUAUCCUGACAAUAGGAACUGGUCACUCUUUUGUGAGCAAGUCAUUGACCACCCAGCCUUGGUUUCCCGUCCUUGGAACUAGGGCUACAGCGUCGCUCAUGAGAGUGAGGUGAGACCAGAAUGGAGUUUGCAAUACUGGGAUUCACCAUGCUGUGGCUUUGGGUUCUAAACAAGUGUGGCUUAUUUGCCUUGCACCUGGCCCAGCUUGGCUUAGGAAAUAGAUUUUUUAUUUUUUGAGACGAAAAUGUGUUGCUCACUUCCAGAUCCUUUUCUGUUGCUUAAUAAAGUCAAACAGUCUUUUCUAAAUGGGCAUCUUAGGUUUCAAGUGGGAAACUGAGGUACCGAGAAGGGCCCAUGUUUGCCUGAGUUUCACUUUAUAUCGUAUGUCAAAGGAUGCAGAGGUAUGUUCCAGCCUCAUACUUGUG